rnacentral:rRNA from 1 species
AGAGCGAACGCUGGCGGCAGGCCUAACACAUGCAAGUCGAGCGCCCGUAGCAAUACGGGAGCGGCAGACGGGAUAGUAACACGUGGGAACGCGCCCUUCGGUUCGGAAUAACUCAGGGAAACUUGAGCUAAUACCGGAUACGCCCUUACGGGGAAAGAUUUAUUGCCGAAGGAACGGCCCGCGUCCGAUUAGCUAGUUGGUGAGGUAAUGGCUCACCAAGGCGACGAUCGGUAGCUGGUCUGAGAGGAUGACCAGCAUCACUGGGACUGAGACACGGCCCAGACUCCUACGGGAGGCAGCAGUGGGGAAUAUUGGACAAUGGGCGCAAGCCUGAUCCAGCCAUGCCGCGUGGAUGAUGAAGGCCUUAGGGUUGUAAAGUCCUUUUAACGGGGAAGAUAAUGACGGUACCGUAGAAUAAGCCCCGGCUAACUUCGCGCCAGCAGCCGC